UGAGAGGGGUACCUAUGAACAUCAGC
rnacentral:piRNA from 1 species